GCUCUGGUGGCCUAAGUGGUUAGAGCGUCCGCCUCGGAUGCGGGAAGGUCGUGGGUUCAAACUUCGGCCAAGUCA